GCGGAUGUGGCGGAAAUGGUAGACGCGUUAGAUUUAGGCUCUAAUAAAAUAAAAAUGAGAGUUCAAGUCUCUCCUUCCGUA